CCUCCUGCAUCUGCGCCUGCGCCUUGGGCUCUCCUGCGCGCAGAGCAGGACCCUGAGGAGACAGCGGGCAGCUGGCUAGGGGCUGGGCGGCGGUUGAGACAGCGGCUGUAUUGGGGGGUAGGUGACGGUCGCGAGGCUGCCUGAGCUUCUGAGUGAGCUCGGAGCUUUGGGGAACGCGUGAGGGGCGACCUGCGGCGCCAGGAGCUGGCAGAGGCGCGGCGGCGCGGCUGCAGUCUGGAUGGGAAGUUACGGUUUACAGCGAAGUCCACCCAGCGUUUCCGAGGUGCGGGCGCCGCGCCUGGCCGGGCAGGCGGCAAUCUGAAGACAAAUGCUGUUUAGAUGCAGGCGAAGGUUCCUGAUGACCCAGGCUCUCACCAGCAGAUUGUCCCUUACUGUCCUCCUGAGGGCGUCUGGAGCUUCAGUGCUGUGUGCUCUUGGCCUCCACACUGGGGAUUCCACUGACUCCCACUGUCCAGGGCUUCCAGUGGACUCUCCGAGGCACUGAUGUAGAAAUGUCCCCAUUCGGUGCACCAAGAGCAGCCUCACACGGUGUGGGCCGACAGGAAGAGCUGCCAGAUCCAACAGAAAUGUGAUUGAUAACAGUAGAGCCACACUCCUCAUGUGCCUGAAAUACCCCUCAUUGUCUUCUUCAGGUGGCAAGGGCUCUGGAACAGCCACAUAAAGAGGGAUUAGCAUCCAUGUAUUUGAAAUUGAAAUUCAAGAGGAGAGACAGGCACCUGUACUAGUUUUCUCUUGCUGCCUCUUAUCACGUUCCCACAAACCAGUGGUUUGAAACCACAGAAGUCUGGAAUGAAGUGGCUGGGUUCUCUGAUCAGAGUCAGCCCUUGAAGAUAAGGAUGGUCAAACAAAAUACUAUCAUACCUGGAGAAACUCAGAUCUUGGUAAGAUUUACUAGUUGGGAAUCCAUGUUGAUCCCAAGAAGCAGCCACCAGUUGGGAUCAAAUGUGAGCCUAUGAAUCAAGAAAAUGAGCAAACAUGUGGCCAUGAAACAGCUCAUCGUAGAAUUGGUUCAGUGGUUGUGAGUGCAGUAACCCAAGAGUGUCUAUUCUGAAAUACCAUCCGGAAUGCCUGGACACAGUAAACAAAGGUGGUUCAACCAGACGUCUUAGGACACAUGCUUCCAAAAACAAAGUAGCUGAAAAGAAACCAGAAUAACAGACCAUCAGAGCCAGAGGAACAUUCGGAGGUAAUUCAGUACCUCCUCCUUUUCAACCUACAGGGGAGAUGGUGGAACAGAAGCAGGGAUGGGCCUGUCUGCUGUGCCCACAAUUCAUUGGAGAUUGUUGUGGUGAAGAAUUUCAUUUAUGAUGAAGGAGAAAUAAACCCCCAUCAGCUUAAAUUCAGGCAGGUUUAUUGAAAAGAUGAAGAAGCAUCUUGCAGAAGCAAAGCAUGGCUGAGGCUUGUGGGCUCUGUCUGGGAAAAUGAGCAGCCGACAGUGGCUGGUGCUGCCUCUGACUCUGGGGCCUUGUGGUCUGUUGUUCCCUGAGAGCAUCUCUUCUAUUCUCUUGCGUCUUCCCUCAGCCUGGCAGUCUCUGUAUACUCUUCAACACAUAAUUGAGCAAGGCUGUGCCAGCCCCAAUGCUGCCUAGCACUUUAGGUCAAAUUAGAAAGGCAUGAAAUAAACUGGCCUGUUAUAAUACAGCUGUUGGAACAACAGUUGAAAGUAACAGUAUCUUGACUCCUGGUUGAGUGCUUUAUGCUGAACUUUCUUUUCUGAAUACUAGCACAGACUUUGGGAUAUUAGUGUCACCUAGCGUUGUUAGCUAGUAUUCUCCUUUUGUUUCCCCAUAACAUGCCUUCGUCCUUCCCACAGAUCCACUCUCCACUCAUUUCCAUCCUGUCUUAUGCUCUAGAAGGGACUCGGGGCUUGUCCCUUCUAGAAUGCAUCCCUGGCUCCCCUGUGUGCACACUUCUAGUUAGGUUUAGCAAUGGGGGGCUAGAAGUGAGAGGAAGGUGAGGUCUGUAUUUCUUCCCUCUCCCUCCCUGCUCUGGCACUGAGUAUCUGGCAAUAGCUGCAUCUGUCUAUUACUUCAGUGGCCACUCUUCCACAGCCCCAAUUCUCAGUGGGUCCCAUAGCAUUAUUUAUCUUUGUUCCUUUAGCUCCCACCAAAGAAGAUCCAGAGACAUUCUCCUCACCAAGGCAUUAAGAAAUGCAUGGGUGAGGGAAACAGGAGUGUGCAUGUAAAGGUCCUGUGGCGCCUCUCCUCUGCAGGCUGGAGGUCAUGGCGGAAGAUGCUGCAUGGAUUUGCCCUCCCUGCUGUCAGAACAACAGGGUUCUGGAAUAGUAGAGGACAGGCCAUGGGACUCAGCCCUCUAGAGACAAGGCAGGAGGGAUUUCCUUGAGAGGCAGGGACAUGUGGUGGUAACUAAUCAUUGUGAGGUGUCUGGGAGUGUAAUGGAUGGGAAAUCUACUAAGAAAUCAACUUAUGUAAUAAUUAGAAAAGCUCUAGUUCUGAGGACAGAGACCUGUUGGAGUCACCAUGGUGGGAAUUUAUGACCUGGCAUCCAGUUCAGAUACCUGGAGCUUCUUGACUGGGGGGAGAUUGGAUCCCUUGGGGAAGAGUGAAGCCUUCAAUGCUGCCACAAGUGUAUGCUGUAAAUCUUCCUCCAGGCCUUCCCCAGAAGAACCUGAAGCCACUUAUGUGGGUGACUGAGGAAAGGGAAAUACCCAGAGCUUCAGUCGCUUGUUGGAUUCUGGCUCCGAAGAAUGCUAACCUAAGGGCACCUGUGGGGCCAUGAAAAUGCACUACUUGCAUCUCCAGCUGCAGGAGGCCUAACGAAUCAACAGCCCAGGCUGCUACACUCUGAAUUGAGGACUUGAUGACAUUUCCCCCGGAUCUGUACUAGCCCAUGAGGAGGAAACCCUCAUAUCAAGUCCUCCCAACAGAACACCCAUGAUGAGUCAUGAGGAUGUCGAAGCUGUUUUCCUGUGGUGACUGUGACUUACUUUCUUCAAAGUCUGUUUUGUUUGUGCACAUUCACUGAUUUAUAUAAGAGAAUAAAUGCCUAGACCCCCA